rnacentral:rRNA from 1 species
GACGAACGCUGGCGGCGUGCUUAACACAUGCAAGUCGAACGGAAAGGCCCUGCUUUUGUGGGGUGCUCGAGUGGCGAACGGGUGAGUAACACGUGAGUAACCUGCCCUUGACUGGGGGAUAACUUUAGGAAACUGGGGCUAAUACCGCAUAGGAGCUCCUGCUGCAUGGUAGGGGUUGGAAAGUUUCGGCGGCUGGGGUAGGAGGCGCGGCUUCUCAGCUUUUUCGUGGGGUAGUGGCUUACCAAGGCUUGGACGGGUAGCCGGCCUGAGAGGGUGACCGGCCACACAGGGACUGAGAUAGGGACCGGACUGAAUCGGGAGGCAGGAGUGGGGAAUAUAGCGCGAUGGGCGGCGGGAUGGUGGAGGGACGACGGGUGCGGGAAGGCGGACUUCGGGUUGGAAAGCGCUUUCGCCUGUGACGAAGCGAGAGUGACGGUAAUGGGUAAAAAAGGAACGGCUAACUACGUG